rnacentral:tRNA from 1 species
CUGCUCAGCGGCUCGGGAGGGCCGGCGCUCCUCCCGCCGGUCGGAGCGGAGGUGGCGACGGCCGCGCCGGUCACGACGGCCGGGCGCU